AGUCGGAGUUGGAGACUCGGUCCGGCUCCCAUAGGAGUCUGGGCGAAGUCUAGAAGAUGGUCGAUCAUCAUGGAAAUUUGGGUGGAGUCCAUCCGUCGCAAAGAAUUCGGUCGACGCUGGUGGGGGCUUAUCCGUCAGCAAAACUUGGGAGUGUCGCGGAGGCUCGACUGCCUGGGAGGUUUGAAGAGACAUCGUCGGAGGUCAGAAGUCGGUUGGAUCCCCGGAGGGUCACUCCUGUCACGAACUUCGGCUGGAGGGUAUUUUAUACCCAACUUAUAGGAUGCAAUCUCCUCUUAUUAG
rnacentral:lncRNA from 1 species